UAUCUUUGGAUCUUUCGGAUAGCUAAAGU
rnacentral:piRNA from 1 species